rnacentral:misc_RNA from 1 species
GGGAGAGCCAUACCUGACAAAGACGCUAGCGAAUUGGUUCCUCACUCAAAGUAGGGGAAAGCGUUAUUAAGAAACCAAAAUUUGACAGGUUACGCAUCCUGCAUCCUCGACGAUAAUAUCCCCCAGGUUUGCUGAGGUGGACUAGAUCAUCCUCAAGUGUCGACGGUCAGUCGUCAGGAUCCGUG